rnacentral:rRNA from 1 species
CGCCCUUUGAAAAGAAAACUUAAAGAUAAAGGGUUCUGCCUGCCCAGUGACAAUAGUUUAACGGCCGCGGUAUUUUGACCGUGCAAAGGUAGCAUAAUCAUUUGCCUUUUAAAUGGAGGCUGGAAUGAAUGGCAAGACGAAAAUUUGACUGUCUCUCUCUUAAAGUCCUGAAAUUAAUAUCCUUGUGAAGAAGCGGGGAUUAGGUCGUGGGACGAGAAGACCCUAUUGAGCUUAAGCAAUAGUUGGGAGUACUAUUAUUUUAUUUUAGGCUAAUUAUUUAAUAAUGUAAAUUUACUUUUAAUAAAAAGAAUACUGCCCAUGAAUUGCUUUGGUUGGGGCAACCGCGGAGAAAAGUUAACCUCCGCUGAUAAAAAAUAAAAGAUACUACUUUAAUAUGGAAGAGUUUUAUAUUAGUGAUCCACUAUAAAGUGAUCAAAGGAAAAAGUUACCAUAGGGAUAACAGCGUAAUUUUUUUGGAGAGUUCAUAUUGAUAAAAAAGUUUGCGACCUCGAUGUUGGAUCGAGACUUCCUAGGGGUGUAGCAGCUCUUAAGGGUUGGUCUGUUCGACCAUUAAAGUCUU